rnacentral:misc_RNA from 1 species
GUCGUUGCCCUAUUGCCGGUGCCUCUUUCGCGGGCGCCGGGCGGGGCGAAUGUUGGCUUCCCGGGAGCAUCGUCUCACGGUUGGUCGAAAGUCGGGCCCGUGGCGGGGUGCAUCGCGACGGAUGGUGAAUGAGGAAAGGCUCGAGACCAGUCGCGUUCCCCGCCGCUUGGGGGCUCUGUGACCC